ACCCUCUUCCCUCUCACCCCUCCACACAGACCUAGAUUUGAGUCUUCUUCUACUGCUGUGAAAAGCAAGCGAGGAGCCUUUGAUAAUUGA